CAAUAGCGUAUAUUAAAGUUGUUGCAGUUAAAACGCUCGUAGUCGGAUUUCGGGGCGGGGCCGCCGGUCUGCCGAUGGGUAUGCACUGGCGGUCGCGUCCUUCCUUCCGGAGACUGGCCCUACUCUUAACUGAGCGGGGUCGGGAGACGGAUCGUUUACUUUGAAAAAAUCAGAGUGUUUCAAGCAGGCAGCUCGCUCUUGCAUGGAUUAGCAUGGGAUAAUGAAAUAGGACUUUGGUGCUAUUUUGUUGGUUUCGAACACCGAAGUAAUGAUUAACAGGGACAGUCAGGGGCACUCGUAUUCCGCCGAGAGAGGUGAAAUUCUCAGACCAGCGGAAGACGAACCACUGCGAAAGCAUUUGCCAGGGAUGUUUNCACUG
rnacentral:rRNA from 1 species